rnacentral:rRNA from 1 species
GACAUUACCGAGUUUACAACUCCCAAACCCAAUGUGAACGUUACCAAACUGUUGCCUCGGCGGGAUCUCUGCCCCGGGUGCGUCGCAGCCCCGGACCAAGGCGCCCGCCGGAGGACCAACCAAAACUCUUUUUGUAUACCCCCUCGCGGGUUUUUUAUAAUCUGAGCCUUCUCGGCGCCUCUCGUAGGCGUUUCGAAAAUGAAUCAAAACUUUCAACAACGGAUCUCUUGGUUCUGGCAUCGAUGAAGAACGCAGCGAAAUGCGAUAAGUAAUGUGAAUUGCAGAAUUCAGUGAAUCAUCGAAUCUUUGAACGCACAUUGCGCCCGCCAGUAUUCUGGCGGGCAUGCCUGUCCGAGCGUCAUUUCAACCCUCGAACCCCUCCGGGGGGUCGGCGUUGGGGAUCGGCCCUGCCUCUUGGCGGUGGCCGUCUCCGAAAUACAGUGGCGGUCUCGCCGCAGCCUCUCCUGCGCAGUAGUUUGCACACUCGCAUCGGGAGCGCGGCGCGUCCACAGCCGUUAAACACCCAACUUCUGAAAUGUUGACCUCGGAUCAGGUAGGAAUACCCGCUGAACUUAAGCAUAUCAAUAAGCGGAGGAAAAAAAA